ensembl:lncRNA
CUAAACUGCAAAACACAUAUAGCCCAAAGGUUUUAGAUAGGAGGCUGUGGGGCUGCACUGAGAGUCUGCUGCUGCAGUUAAACUCCUGCCUGCUCUUUGAACCACUGAUGAGUUGGACUUGCAGGACCCCAGGGGCUGUGUUCUGAUCAGUGAGUGGGGUCUGGAAAUAGUUUGAAACAGACAUUUCUGGUGUUCAGUUUGAAUGCAGCUCCUGCUGCCCCUGAGACGUUUGCCUCCUGUCGCAGCCUAAUUAUCCAGUGUUCACAGUGUCUGCCUCAUUUGCCUUUGCCUGGGUUUCUCAUUCUCACUGCAUUUCCCUUCUAGGCCUGAAUUUUAACCCUACUUUGCAAAUCUGCUUUCCUGAGUUUUGUUUCUAUCAACCCCUUUCUCCCGGACUGCACCUGGCUUCCUAUAUCACUUACAUCGACUCUGCUCAGCAUGCAGAUCUGUGACUCAGGGCUCAAGUUUCCGCCCUGGCCUGUCUCAGGCCUGUGUUGUGUUCUCUCUGACACUCAGAUCCUGAGAGUUGGAUACAGGGUCUUCCGUGGAGAGCUUCUCGGUGUGGAUUCUCAUCAUCAUUAGAGUUGCUGAGGGCAUAUGUUUUGGACUUUUCUUGCCUGAUUUGUGAGAUUCUGCUGACAUCCAGGAAAGUGCUGCAAAAAAAACCUGUUGCUCAUAUCCAAGCUUAUGUGUUUCGUGGCAGAGCCACGAGCACUGAGCUCAAGUUUCUUGACAACAAGUCUUAUUUAUGGAGAAACAAACAUAGGCGGUAUUUCGUGGGACCAUGCUGUUCUCUUUCUGCCCUCUUUCUCCCCAAGAUUUUGGUGCAUCCCUAUCCAUGGACGGAACAGCUAUAAUCUAUCACUGUGAUCAAUAGUUACUUGUAAGAGUGGGUUGUGACUCCUGGAUAUUGGAGUGGGAAAAAGCUUGAAAAACAGCUCCUCUGUCUUGGAAUAACUGUUCUCAACAAUGUCCCAAGCUCUUCAGGGAUUUAUGAAGUUAGUAACGAAGACUUGCUGGCGGAGUUCAUUAUUUUUUAAAACUACCUUAUGGAAACUGUAAGCCUACUGACAGUAAAGCUGCUUCAGCAACUGCAUAAAACUUGUCUCUCAUCUAUGGGCUACAAUUUUAUCAACUCAUGUUGAUAAGCUACUAUCAACUAGCUAUAUGAAAGCUCUGAUGAUACUUACAUGUUCCUUGGUGAACAGAAAUGGAAAAAAAAUGAAUUUUUAUUUAAUUAAGUCCAUUCCUUUGAUUGGUAGAUGGUUUCAAAACAUGGGGCACAAAGAAGAAAAAUAAUUCCAAGAGCAUGAAGGAAUUCAAAAUUUUGUCAACCACUGACCUCAAAUGAGAGAGAAUUCAGCGUAGGAGAAGAAUCUGUUGAUUUCUCUUUAAUCAGUAAUUUAUUAAUAGUUACAACUGUAUGUAUGUUUGGGCACAGAUAUGUAUGCUGCUGCUGAUUAGUCACUUCAGUUGUGUCUGACUCUGUGUGACCCCAUGGACUGCCACCUGCCAGGUUCCUCAGUCCAUGGGAUUCUCCAGGCAAGAAUACUAGAGUGGGCUGCCAUGCCUUCCUCCAGGGGAUCUUCCUGACCCAGGGAUCAAACCCAGGUCUCCUGCAUUGCAGGUGGAUUCUUUACCACUGAACCACCAGGGAAGCCCACAAAUAUGUAUAUUUCUUCUAAAAUAGGAUGUGAGAAAUAACAUC